rnacentral:rRNA from 1 species
GUGAACGAGCGACGCCGCGUGGAGGAUGAAGGCCUUCGGGUUGUAAACUCCUGUCGAGGGGGAGGAAGGGGAAACCUUGACCGAUCCCUGGAGGAAGCACGGGCUAAGUUCGUGCCAGCAGCCGCGGUAAGACGAACCGUGCGAACGUUAUUCGGAAUCACUGGGCUUAAAGCGCGUGUAGGCGGAUGGGAACGUCGGAUACUGAAAGCCCCCGGCUCAACCGGGGAAGUGGUUCCGAAACGACCUGUCUGGAGGGACGUAGGGGGAUCUGGAACUUCCGGUGGAGCGGUGAAAUGCGUUGAGAUCGGAAGGAACGCCCGUGGCGAAAGCGAGGUCCUGGACGUCUGCUGACGCUGAGACGCGAAAGCUAGGGGAGCAAACGGGAUUAGAUACCCCGGUAGUCCUAGCCGUAAACGAU